rnacentral:rRNA from 1 species
AAUGUCUCAGAUUAGCCAUGCAUGUCUCAGUAUAAGCUUCUAUACGGCGAAACUGCGAAUGGCUCAUUAAAACAGUUAUAGUUUAUUUGGUGGUCAGCAAUUACAUGGAUAACCGUGGUAAUUCUAGAGCUAAUACAUGCGCCCAAACCCGACUUCGUGGAAGGGUUGUGUUUAUUAGAUACAGAACCAACCCAGGCUCCGCCUGGCCUUGAGGUGAUUCAUAAUAACCGAACGAAUCGCAUGGCUAUGCCGGCGAUAGACCAUUCAAGUUUCUGACCUAUCAGCUAUCGUCGGUAGGGUAUUGGCCUACCGUGGCAAUGACGGGUAACGGAGAAUUAGGGUUCGAUUCCGGAGAGGGAGCCUGAGAAACGGCUACCACAUCUAAGGAAGGCAGCAGGCGCGCAAAUUACCCAAUCCUGACGCAGGGAGGUAGUGACAAGAAAUAACAAUACAGGGCAUACAUGUCUUGUAAUUGGAAUGAGUAAACUUUAAAUCACUUU